UGGGGAAUAUUGGACAAUGGGCGCAAGCCUGAUCCAGCAAUGCCGCGUGUGUGAAGAAGGCCUUCGGGUUGUAAAGCACUUUAAGCAGGGAAGAAAAAACUCGGUCUAAUACAUCGAGUCUUGACGGUACCUGAAGAAUAAGCACCGGCUAACUCUGUGCCAGCAGCCGCGGUAAUACAGAGGGUGCUAGCGUUAAUCGGAUUUACUGGGCGUAAAGCGUGUGUAGGUGGUUGUUCAAGUCAGUUGUGAAAUCCCCUGGGCUUAACCUGGGAACUGCUUCUGAGACUGAACGACUAGAGUACGGUAGAGGGUGGUGGAAUUUCCGGCGUAGCGGUGAAAUGCGUAGAUAUCGGAAGGAACAUCAAUGGCGAAGGCAGCCACCUGGGCCUGUACUGACACUGAGACACGAAAGCGUGGGGAUCAAACAGGAUUAGAUACCCUGGUAGUCCACGCCGUAAACGAUGAGAACUUGACGUCGGUUUGCUCUGCAAGUCGGUGUCGUAGCUAACGCGAUAAGUUCUCCGCCUGGGGAGUACGGCCGC
rnacentral:rRNA from 1 species